UUUAUUCGCGCAGUAUAGGUGGGAGGCGUUGAUUAUAAUCUUGCGGGAUUAUUGGAGCCAUCAGUGAGAUACCACCCUUGUAAUGUUAGAUUUCUAACUUUGAAUCAUUAUCUGGUCAAAGAACAGUUUCAGGCGGGCAGUUUGACUGGGGCGGUCGCCUCCUAAACGGUAACGGAGGCGUACAAAGGUUUCCUCUGAACGGUUAGAAAUCGUAUCUAGAGUGUAAAGGCAUAAGGAAGCUUGACUGUGAGACCUACAAGUCGAGCAGGGACGAAAGUCGGUCUUAGUGAUCUGACGGUACUGAGUGGAAAGGCCGUCACUCAACGGAUAAAAGUUACUCUAGGGAUAACA
rnacentral:rRNA from 1 species